GACGAACGCUGGCGGCGCACCUAAGACAUGCAAGUCGAACGGUCCCCUCGGGGACAGUGGCGGACGGGUGAGUAACACGUGGGAGACCUACCCUGGGGUGGGGGAUAACGUCGGGAAACCGGCGCUAAGACCGCAUACGCGGGGCGACAUAGCGGUCGCUUCUGGAAAUGCGCAAGCAGCCCUGGGCGGGUCCCGCGGCGGAUUAGCUAGGUUGGGGGGU
rnacentral:rRNA from 1 species